AAAACAAACAAACAAGAAAACAAACAACAAAAAACCCUUUUCAUGUAACUCUGAUCCUUGAGGACCUCAUCUUUGUUCUCUUCUAGAACGGGAUCCUUUGCCUCACCAGCUAGCCAUGUGGAGGAAAUGCUAUCCAUGAAGAAUGGAGCCUUUUAUGGAACCCAAACCUUCUAAGCUGUGUCUCCUUUCCUCAGCGCCCACUCAUGGCCUCAGUGUGGUCUGGUGCACAUCAUGCUCCCUUUGUCCUUUGUGUUCCACAGGUAACCACCCCACUUCCUCAGUCUCUUCCACGCUGCAGUCUCUUCUUUCCUCACCAUGGUUGCCAACCCUCCUCCAGACACAGUGCUCCACCUAAAAGAAGGUCUGCCAAAGCGGCAAUAGGACCUUGAUGCUCACAGAGUCUGUCCCUUUCCUGGAGUUCAUGACCCUUUUAUGUGUCACAAAGACAGGGCUUAGUGGGUGACAAGGGCCUUUUUGCCUCAUAGCUGGGCAGGUGAGCGUGGAGGUAGGAGGAAUCACAAUCAAUCUGAGGACUGUGUGAAUUGAUGGGCACAGCGUGAAGAGGCAGGACAACACCCCCCCCUGUCAGUGGCACUGAUUAGGCACGGGGUCCAUCCUCAGUUCAACCCACAGAAGGGUCCUGGCGAUGUACCUGAAAACAGGGAUGACGUAGUCGCUUGGAAAGAUGCCAGCUCGCCCCGUGACUAAGGAGAGACCCCUCAGCCAGCCAUCUUGGUACUUCCCCAGCACCCUGAUGCCUUCUCCUUUCUGCAGGUCCAGCUCGUCAGGUCCGUGGGCUGAGUACGAGUGCAGGGCUACACACCUGGAAACACAAGGAACUCGUGCAUAAGGGAGGCGGAGGAGGAUGCUGAGGAGGGCGCAGAGCUGAGGAGGGGCUGGGGGAGGCCAGUCCCUCCAGCUCACCUGCCAGCACCUAGCAACAAAAACCAUUAAAAAUGGAAACUUAAGCAUGGGAAGGCAGACAGGAGUGGAACCACCUGGCUGACAUGCCAGGGGACAUCCUGCUUUCGUCUCUCCACUCCAUAGGGCACCGCAUGGCUGGAAAUCAGACGGGCCACCGUGGGCACCGUGGCAAUGGGGAGCUGGCCUCCAGCACGUUAGAGACUUGAAGGACAGGGUCCGUGGGAGAGGUGUGUGGGAGUCUACCUUAGUGCUUUCUCACUACUGUCUCCUGUUGUUCUGAGGACAGCAAGGCUCGGGGAGACAAGAGUCAUCACAAAAGCCUCUCUGAAAACCCUCUGUGGUGCGGGACUGCGAGGAGGGCUUUGUUUGACUUCCAGGAACGGCCUGGGAGAUAGCUGGGUGCCAAUUGUAAAGUGUACGUUAGGAAGUCGGAGGCAGGGGUGAUGAUCCUUAUUAUUUUUGCACACAGUGAUUCCCACUGGCUGGACAGUAGGUGGAGGAGAAUGGGUUUUGUAUCAUGGAAAAAUGUGAGUGAGGAGAAAAUAGACACUGUAUUCUAAAGUUCACACAGGAGUCAGGGAGGUGGCGUCCAAGUAUGAGUCACGGAUGUGAGGACACUGGGGAACAGUGAGGCUGAGGCUGAGGACAUGAGAACAGCUGCCUCGUGAGAGCCAUUAAAGGAAGAACUUGAUUGCCUUGCUGGAUUCCGGGUCACUUCAGCCAGGCAUGUCCAAGCCUUUGACAUUGUGACACGAUGUUGUCAUCUACAAAAUUUAUGCCCAGAACUGUAUAAUUGAGUUUAUAAAAAAUAAAAAAGCAAAAUAGAUCUGCUAA